rnacentral:rRNA from 1 species
UACGAAGGGGGCUAGCGUUGCUCGGAAUCACUGGGCGUAAAGGGUGCGUAGGCGGGUCUUUAAGUCAGGGGUGAAAUCCUGGAGCUCAACUCCAGAACUGCCUUUGAUACUGAAGAUCUUGAGUUCGGGAGAGGUGAGUGGAACUGCGAGUGUAGAGGUGAAAUUCGUAGAUAUUCGGAAGAACACCAGUGGCGAAGGCGGCUCACUGGACUGGUAUUGACACUGAGGUGCGAAAGCGUGGGGAGCAAACAGG